rnacentral:tRNA from 1 species
GCCACCCUAGCUCAGGGGUAGAGCACUUCCAUGGUAAGGAAGGGGUCGCGGGUUCAAAUCCCGCGGGUGGCUCCA